rnacentral:rRNA from 1 species
UAACGACUCUCGGCAACGGAUAUCUCGGCUCUCGCAUCGAUGAAGAACGCAGCAAAAUGCGAUACUUGGUGUGAAUUGCAGAAUCCCGUGAAUCAUCGAGUUUUUGAACGCAAGUUGCGCCCGAAGCCUUUCGGCCAGGGCACGUCUGCCUGGGUGUCACGCAAACGUCGCCCCCGACACCUCAAAUGAGGGUGCGGAGGCGGAUGUUGACCUCCCGUGCGCCUUAGAGCGUGCGGUUGGUAAAAAAUUCAAGUCCCGAAAGACAUUGCCACGACAAUCGGUGGUUUGCAUGCCCUCGUGUCCCGUCGUGCGUAUUGUCCUUGUGAAGGACCCAUUCACACCCCGAUGUCGCCCGCAAGAGGCGAUUCCCAUAUCGCGACCCCAGGUCAGGCGGGACUACCCGCUGAGUUUAAGCAUAUCAAUAAGCGGAGGAAAAGAAACUUACCAGGAUUCCCUUAGUAACGGCGAGCGAACCGGGAACAGCCC